AAAAUAUAUUUAUAUAUCAGUAAGUACAAUAUCAGAUAAUUAAUUUUUCAAAUGUUAGGGUAGUGCAGCUAGUGAAUGUCAUGUGGUGCAAAAAAUAAAAAUGUUUUAAAAGAAUAAAAUAUUUACACUCAUAUGCAUUAUAUAUGCUCAUAUGCAUUGUAUCAAUUAAAAUAUCAUGAUUAAACCAUAUGUUAAAGUCUUUAAAUCUCUUGAAAAUGCAAAAUCAGUGCGAAUACAGUGUUUACAUGUCUAAGAACGUGUUUUUAACUAGAUUUUUCUUUUUUUCAUAUGGAUACUCUUAUUUGUCGUUGACCCAUAAACCCGUACUAUCGACAGCCUACGCACACUUAUCUAUUGAGAACAAGUUUCUUCAUACCCAGGUCCCCUGUUUGAUUCCCUGUAACCCGUGAUCCAGUGAUCUCCCGAGCUUCCAGUGGUUCCUCCGAGCUUGCUUGAUACUAUCCACAUCUGAAAGACGUUCUCACCUGUAUUCAGCCCUGCAGUGAUCUGCACCGAACCCGCACCGGAAUUCACAGAAUACUCACCUUGCACUUGAGAUUCUGAAAAUAAACACUGUUUGGAUUCACUUACCUUUGCCUCUUGUCUAUAUCCUGACACUGGGCUUCUGAUAUUCCUCAUUGAAUCAGACAUUUAUCUUGAAUUAUGUUGUUACAUUAAAUUGUCAUUUAAGAGCUUAUCUCAGAACAUUAAUACCUUUAUCAAUCAUCU
ensembl:lncRNA